rnacentral:rRNA from 1 species
UACGAAGGGGGCUAGCGUUGCUCGGAAUCACUGGGCGUAAAGAGUGCGUAGGCGGGUCUUUAAGUCAGGGGUGAAAUCCUGGAGCUCAACUCCAGAACUGCCUUUGAUACUGAAGAUCUUGAGUUCGGGAGAGGUGAGUGGAACUGCGAGUGUAGAGGUGAAAUUCGUAGAUAUUCGCAAGAACACCAGUGGCGAAGGCGGCUCACUGGCCCGAUACUGACGCUGAGGCACGAAAGCGUGGGGAGCAAACAGG